rnacentral:misc_RNA from 1 species
AACGGUCUAUACCUGCGGUACCUGCGGAGGGAUCAUUAGUGAACGCCCUCGCGGGCUUAUAACUAUUCCAAACCUCUGUGAACCGUGCCCUUCGGGGCUAUUUUACAAACAUGGUGUAAUGAACGUCAUAUAUCAUAACAAAACAAAACUUUCAGCAAUGGAUCUCU